rnacentral:rRNA from 1 species
UACGAAAGGUGCAAGCGUUACUCGGAAUCACUGGGCGUAAAGCGCACGUAGGCGGACUCGUAGGUCAAUUGUGAAAUACCUGGGCUCAACCCAGGAACUGCAGUUGAAACCACUUGUCUUGAAUACCUGAGAGGGUGGGGGAAUACCUGGUGGAGAAGUGAAAUUCGUAGAGAUCAGGUGGAACACCGGAGGCGAAGGUGCCUGCCUGGCAGUGUAUUGACGCUGAGGUGCGAAAGUGCGGGGAGCAAACAGG